rnacentral:rRNA from 1 species
GACGAACGCUGGCGGCGUGCCUAAUACAUGCAAGUCGGACGCAGUUUCGAACGGGUGAGUAACGCGUAGGUAACUACCUAUUAGAGGGGGAUAACUAUUUGAAACGAUAGCUAAUACCGCAUACUAGUAGAUGGACCUGCGGUGUAUUAGCUAGUAGGUAGGGGAAUGGCCUACCUAGGCAACGAUAAAUAGCCGACGUGGAGGGGUGAACGGGCAAACUGGGAACGAGACACGGGCCAGAACCCUACGGGAGGGAGGAGGAGGGGAUUGUCGGGAAUGGGGGGAACCCUGACCGGGCAAAGCCGGGUGAGUGAAGAAGGUUUUCGGAUUGUAAAGCUCUGGUGUUAAGGAAGCGGUACUUAACCAGAAAGGGACGGCUAACUACGUGCCAGCAGCCGCGGUAAUUC